GAUGAACGCAGGCGGCGUGUCUAAUACAUGCAAGUCGAGCGAACGGACGAGAAGCUUGCUUCUCUGAUGUUAGCGGCGGACGGGUGAGUAACACGUGGAUAACCUACCUAUAAGACUGGGAUAACUUCGGGAAACCGGAGCUAAUACCGGAUAAUAUUUUGAACCGCAUGGUUCAAAAGUGAAAGACGGUCUUGCUGUCACUUAUAGAUGGAUCCGCGCUGCAUUAGCUAGUUGGUAAGGUAACGGCUUACCAAGGCAACGAUGCAUAGCCGACCUGAGAGGGUGAUCGGCCACACUGGAACUGAGACACGGUCCAGACUCCUACGGGAGGCAGCAGUAGGGAAUCUUCCGCAAUGGGCGAAAGCCUGACGGAUCAACGCCGCGUGAGUGAUGAAGGUCUUCGGAUCGUAAAACUCUGUUAUUAGGGAAGAACAUAUGUGUAAGUAACUGUGCACAUCUUGACGGUACCUAAUCAGAAAGCCACGGCUAACUACGUG
rnacentral:rRNA from 1 species